rnacentral:tRNA from 1 species
GUGGGGGUAUAGCUCAGUUGGUAGAGUGCCUGCCCUGCAUGCAUAAGGUCCUGGGUUCAAUCCCCAGCACCACA